rnacentral:tRNA from 2 species
AGUCGGCGGGGCGCCGGCGGCCCCGGCCUCGCUCCGGCCGCGGCCGGGUGACGCGUCCGGUUCCCGCACCGGCUC